CAUAAAUAUAUGUUGCUGAAAGCAUAUUGGAGAGCGUGCUUUAAAAGGAUGUGAAUGAAUUUAGCCCCUCCUAAGGAUCACAUGUUCAUGUAUCUCCAGCCAUUUGGAAGAAUAAGAGAUGUAAGAAGAGACUGCAGAUAGAAAAGGCACAACAUUUUGCAGAUGGGAAGGGGAUCUAGGAAUGGAGGGAGAGGAGAGGAAGCA
rnacentral:lncRNA from 1 species